UCAGAUAAGAUGACCUGUUAUUUUCGUUAUUGUUCAGCAUGAUCAUUGAAGCUUUAAACUGAGAGCCAAGCAAGUUGGUUUGUUCAGUGGUCUUAAGGUGGGAGUAGGGGAGUCAUCCACGGAAGUUACACAUUUACAGAUGAUAGCUUGAUAUUUUGCAAGCAAGACUACUCAACCUCAUAUGCAUUCUACAAUGUUUCCAAGCAAUGUCUAGCCUUAGCAUUAAUCUUUCCAAGUUUGAGCUGGUGAGAUUGGGGAAUAAGAACAAUACUUCUAGAUUGGCAAAGGUCUUAGGGUGUAAGAUCGUAGAAUUACCAAUUAAAUAUCUAGGAAUGUCAUCAGGAGCUAAUUACAAAGAUGUGAGAGCAUAAGACAAAGAUGUGAGAGCAUAAGACCCGAUAAUGGCAAAAUUUGAGUAGAGACUUGCAAGAUGGAAAAGGAUCUUACUAUCU
rnacentral:lncRNA from 1 species